rnacentral:lncRNA from 1 species
CCGGAACUAACACUAUUUCUAAACAUACCAAAGCGAGAUUCCAAAUGACACACGUCAUCAAGGAGUUCCAUCGGGUGCAUCCAAAUGGAUUUCCAAGCAUAUGGUAUGUUCCAUGCAAACUGUGCACCUAUCUUGCAUCAAGGUUAGCACUAUCUCCAAACAGACCAAACUGAGCUUCCACUUGAGCCUCUUCAUCUAGGAGUACAAACAGGUGC